CGGGUGAGCAAAUGCAUAGAUAGAGUGUCAUGAUAUUCAAUCAGAGGAUAAAAAGAAUUUUAAUUAUAAUUAUACAAGUUUUACUAAUUAUUAUUAGAAUUAGAUAUCAUGGAUGUUGAGGUUGUAAUAAAUUACUUUUGGUCUUGUAUAUUCAUUAGGGCUUGCUUUAAGGAGUGUGCAGCUAUCACGUAUCUGAUCCGGGUGUUAGGUU
rnacentral:lncRNA from 1 species